AACGGUUAUCUCCAAAAAAUGUGAAAAAAAAAAAUCAGAAAUAUGGAUAAUAAAAAUCCUAUAAAUACCCAUAUUCUUCACUCCAAUUCUUCACACAAAAAUUUUCACUCUCUCCUCACACAUAAAUUUUUCAUUUGCUUCUCCAAUUUCUUUUCCUGUACAUUCCAUUUCUCAUUCACUAGAAAACAAAAAUGGGGGAGAAUUCCAACUCUAGAUCACCUUCUUUUUCCACGAGGAUAUGAGCAAUCAUCUUGUUGAAAGGAUCUUCAGUCUAGUCGAAUGAUGAGAUUGAAAAUUUGGUGAAACGAGAGUUCUUUCAAAAAUAAGGUGAUUGACUAUACAAGUAAGAGGAUGAGAU
rnacentral:lncRNA from 1 species